GAUGAACGCUGGCGGCGUGCCUAAUACAUGCAAGUCGAGCGAACAGACGAGGAUCUUGCUCCUCUUAUGUUAGCGGCGGACGGGUGAGUAACACGUGGAUAACCUACCUAUAAGACUGGGAUAACUUCGGGAAACCGGAUCUAAUACCGGAUAACAUGUUGAACCGCAUGGUUCAACAGUGAAAGACGGUCUUGCUGUCACUUAUAGAUGGAUCCGCGCCGCAUUAGCUAGUUGGUAAGGUAACGGCUUACCAAGGCAACGAUGCGUAGCCGACCUGAGAGGGUGAUCAGCCACACUGGAACUGAGACACGGUCCAGACUCCUACGGGAGGCAGCAGUAGGGAAUAUUCCGCAAUGGGCGAAAGCCUGACGGAGCAACGCCGCGUGAGUGAAGAAGGUCUUCGGAUCGUAAAACUCUGUUAUUAGGGAAGAACAAAUGUGUAAGUAACUAUGCACGUCUUGACGGUACCUAAUCAGAAAGCCACGGCUAACUACGUG
rnacentral:rRNA from 1 species